rnacentral:rRNA from 1 species
UACGUAGGUCCCGAGCGUUGUCCGGAUUUAUUGGGCGUAAAGCGAGCGCAGGUGGUUUAAUAAGUCUGAUGUAAAAGGCAGUGGCUCAACCAUUGUGUGCAUUGGAAACUGUUAGACUUGAGUGCAGUAGAGGAGAGUGGAAUUCCAUGUGUAGCGGUGAAAUGCGUAGAUAUAUGGAGGAACACCGGUGGCGAAAGCGACUAUCUGGUCUGUAACUGACACUGAGGCGCGAAAGCCAGGGGAGCGAACGGG